UAAAAUGUAUUGAAAGUAUGUUGCUGACAUAAUGGUGGAUGGUGAAUCUCCAACGGACUUCUGUGGUGUGUAUGGUAAUAAAACAUCCUACCAUGCGUCAGUCUUACAACUACUAUGAGGACAUGCAUUGUUCUAGACAAGAAAGUAUAUCAGGUAUACCUAAAGAUGGGUAACAUUAUAUACAUUACAUGGGAUUUAAUGUGGUGUGUUUCCUCCUGCUUUAGCAAAUAAGCCUCUAUGCAGUACCCAGGUUCUGAACACUGCUCCCCCAUUGGAAGAGUUUGAUCCCAAAACAGCAUUGCUAUUGAUUGAGCUGACCCGACAGACCUGGGAACUGUAUAAGAAGAACAAAACCCAGUUUUCCCAGACUGACAGUACGAAAUUCCUGGCACAUGGGCACACCAUCUCUGUGGAAAGGAUCCGAAGGAAAUGGAACAACAUGCUUGUGACAUACAAGUGGACCAAGGACAAACGCAGAGGGACGGGUGAAGGAAGAAUUACGUGGGAGUACUUCGAGGCCCUUGAUGAUCUCCUGUCUGAAACAGUGGGUGCACCACCUACAUCAAAAUCCAUCUUCUCCACACCAGUGUUUCCCACAGACACAAACCCACCUCAAGCACCACCUCACAUAACCCCUUCUCCAGCACCAUGCACACCCUGUCCUUCACACACCCAGAUGUCUGACAUGCAGGACACCAACACAGACGCUUCACACCACUCACAUCGCACCUCAAAGCAGGGGGGAAAAGGAAGAAGAAAUCAGAUCCUACACAGUCAUUUCUGCACAGUUAUGAGUAACAUGCACUGAGGCACACUAAAGUACUUGAGAGGCUUGUCACCAAACUGACAAAUGCUGGAGAACAAAGGUUACGGAAUCAAGAGAAGAGAAGAGGAAAUGUUGGCCUGUUUAAAGGACAUCUCUUGUACACUUCAUGAGAUGUCCCGGAAACAGGACCACAUUAUCUCACUGUUGGAAAACAGACCUUAAUAUGUUUUAUAUAAAUCAAUAUUUAAUUUUGAAUUCAUUUCUGUAUGUUUGUAUUGUUUGUGUACCUCCAUUAUUCUGAGUAAAUGGUAUGUUUGUAUUUACAUAUUUACCCAUGACAACCAAAAUGCACGAUAAAUGUGAGAAGGCUGGGCAAUGGAAUAUAAACCCUUUACAGAAUCCUCGAAACAGGUUCUGACCGACAAGGUGUUUUCCUUUUUAAACAAAAUCCACCCAAUAAAAUGGAAAACCAAGGUAAACACAUGUACACGUAUAGAGGCUAGUGUCAAAUCUGUAUUGGGAUCUCUAUGAAAUCAGAAUGAU